AACGAACGCUGGCGGCAGGCUUAACACAUGCAAGUCGAACGCAUCGCAAGAUGAGUGGCAGACGGGUGAGUAACGCGUGGGAACGUACCCUUUACUACGGAAUAACUCAGGGAAACUUGUGCUAAUACCGUAUGUGCCCUUCGGGGGGAAAGAUUUAUCGGGUAAAGGAUCGGCCCGCGUUGGAUUAGCUAGUUGGUGGGGUAAAGGCCUACCAAGGCGACGAUCCAUAGCUGGUCUGAGAGGAUGAUCAGCCACAUUGGGACUGAGACACGGCCCAAACUCCUACGGGAGGCAGCAGUGGGGAAUAUUGGACAAUGGGCGCAAGCCUGAUCCAGCCAUGCCGCGUGAGUGAUGAAGGCCCUAGGUUGUAAAGCUCUUUCACCGGUGAAGAUAAUGACGGUAACCGGAGAAGAAGCCCCGGCUAACUUCGUGCCAGCAGCCGCGGUAAUACGAAGGGGCUAGCGUUGUUCGGAAUUACUGGGCGUAAAGCGCACGUAGGCGGGUAUUUAA
rnacentral:rRNA from 1 species